GUNCUUUUAGUAUUAANAAGUACAACUGACUUCCAAUCAGUUAGUUUCGGUANACCCCGAAAAAGAACA
rnacentral:tRNA from 1 species